rnacentral:pre_miRNA from 1 species
GUUGUGGACGUGGAGCUCCUUUCGGUCCAAAAAGGGGUUUUGCUGGGGGUCGAUUGAGCUGCUGGGUCAUGGAUCCCGUUAGCCUACUCCAUGCUACGAGCUUAUUCCGCUCAAGAUCUGAAAAGAAACCACUCCAGUACUUGCUUUUGGGAUAGGCUUACGGCUUGCAUGCCCCAGGAGCUGCAUCAGCCCUACAUGGACCCUCUUUGGAUUGAAGGGAGCUCUGCAUCUUUGCUCC